rnacentral:tRNA from 1 species
GCCUGGGUGGCUCAGUGGUUUGAGCGUCUGCCUUUGGCUCAGAGCAUGAUCCUAGGAUCAAGUCCUGCCCAGGCU